GCCGAUGUAGCUCAGCUGGUAGAGCAACGCACUCGUAACGCGUAGGUCGCAGGUUCGAUCCCCGUCAUCGGCUCCU
rnacentral:tRNA from 1 species